AAAAUCUAUCAAUUUUUUUAUUAUUUAUUUUAGUUAUAAUUAAUUUUAUAAAUCUCGUUAUAUUUAUUAUGCAUUUCAUAAAUUUUAUGAUUUUAAUAGAACACAAUAUUAAUGUUAAUUCAUGCAUAGUGUUACAUCCUUUUUCAAUUUUCUUUCCUCCAAAAGAUUUGAAGGGGAAUGUUUAGAAAUUCUUUUUUUGGCAGAGACGGGUUUGGUGUUUUGAUUGAACCGACGUGCUGACAAAUGUCUGUCUCACGCACAGUACACUAAAGCAAAACUACUACGUAAUAGAAGUACACUGUUGAAGGUCACCCAUGUUAUGUUUUCUUCUUUUCUUUUAUAUGAAUUUCAAUCACGAGGCAUAACAACGUUUGCUUACGCAGAUGCAGUUUCUGUUGAUUCUUUAUUUAUAUACUAAAUAAAUAGCAUGUUGUUAUCGGGGACCUUUAUUAUGAUACUCUGUUCUGUUCGUGAAUCUGGUAGAAUUAGUCCACUUCCUAAGUAUUGUGGAGGUCUGCAAUUGAUUUCUCCAAUCGACUAAUGUCAAAUUGAUCUUAGUUCACAUAUAACUUAAAGUUAGAGCCUUGAUUGGAUAAAGUGUAGUACAAAAUUUGUUUUCUUAACCACGAGAAAACCUUCAGGUAAGUUUCUUCCUGCAGUGGAGUGGUGGGUCACCAUUGUCGUGGACUUAGAAAUCUCAUAUUCACAGAAGAUGCGAGGACACGUGUAUUAGGGCAAUGGAUAUUCAUUUGUCACUAGACCCUUUUUACUAUUUUUUUUCCUCUUGUUUGCAGCAAGAGUUUUGGCUCUGAAUGCAGCUUAUUUCCUGAAAUUGAGAGGCCAUUUGUUCUAUCGAUUAAGGAUGCUAAAGCUGUUUAUGCUAAGGAAGUGGACAAGUUGAAGGCGGAUCUGUUCAAGCCUAUGGAGAUGGUAGAACUGUCCCAUUUUGGGCGAGACCAUGCAUGCGCUGUUUGUGGUUACCGGAUGCCAAAGGAACAGAAGACAAAUGCCUAAUUCCCAUAAUGAUGUUUCACCAAUUGGAGCCCCAAAAAAAUGAUACAGAUUUUCCCUUUUGAUACGAACAGUAAUUUAUACAUUUGAAGGCAUCAGUUCAAAGUUGGUAACAUUUGGAUAUGCUCUGCCCUUUCCAGCGAGUAGGUGUCUUUGUGCUUCUCUCUGCCUUGCUGUUGUUACUAGUUUUGAAAAGGACAGAUUGCUACGACUUAUAUUUAUCUUACAAAGAGCUGGGCAUUAGGACUCCACUUUUUCUUGGUUGCAUUCAUUAGGAUUCUCUUUUAAUUGACAUGCCUGCUAUUUUAAUGGCUUCGCCUAAUGAGACAAAUUAUGAGUGAUAGUCAAUCUUGGGAUUCCA